rnacentral:rRNA from 1 species
AAUAUUGCGCAAUGGAGGGAACUCUGACGCAGCGACGCCGCGUGAGCGACGAAGGUCUUCGGAUUGUUAUGCUCUGUCCUUGGGGAAGAAGGUCUUCGGACGUGACGGUACCUCAGGAGGAAGGCCCGGCGAACUACGUGCAGGCAGCCGCGGUAAUACGUAGGGGGCAAGCGUUGUCCGGAAUUAUUGGGCGUAAAGGGUGCGCAGGCGGCCUUUUAAGUCAGAUGUGAAAGCCCACGGCUUAACCGUGGGACUGCAUUUGAAACUGGAGGGCUUGAGUAUCGGAGAGGGUAGUGGAAUUCCCAGUGUAGCGGUGGAAUGCGUAGAUAUUGGGAGGAACACCAGUGGCGAAGGCGACUACCUGGACGAAAACUGACGCUGAGGCACGAAAGCUAGGGGAGCAAAC